rnacentral:rRNA from 1 species
GGCGGCGUGCCUAACACAUGCAAGUCGUACGAGAAAGUUGGCUUCGGCCGAUGAGUAAAGUGGCGCACGGGUGAGUAGUGCGUGGAUAAUCUGCCCUUUAGUUGGGAAUAACGUACCGAAAGGUGCGCUAAUACCUGAUAAUACUGCAUAACUACUGUUGUGUAGUCAAAGAAGGCCUCUGUUUACAAGCUUUUGCUGAAGGAUGAGUCCGCGUACCAUUAGCUGGUUGGUGGGGUAAUGGCCUACCAAGGCUACGAUGGUUAGCUGGUCUGAGAGGAUGAUCAGCCACACUGGAACUGAGACACGGUCCAGACUCCUACGGGAGGCAGCAGUGAGGAAUAUUGCGCAAUGGGGGCAACCCUGACGCAGCAACGCCGCGUGAGUGAGGAAGGUUUUCGGACCGUAAAGCUCUGUCGAGCGGGAAGAAAUGUAUCAUGGCUAAUAUCCAUGAUACUUGACGGUACCGCUAAAGGAAGCACCGGCUAACUCCGUG